rnacentral:rRNA from 1 species
CACGUAGGGUGCGAGCGUUGUCCGGAAUUAUUGGGCGUAAAGAGCUCGUAGGCGGUGUGUCGCGUCGGCCGUGAAAACCUGCAGCUUAACUGUGGGCUUGCAGCUGAUACGGGCAGGCUUGAGUUCGGUAGGGGAGACUGGAAUUCCUGGUGUAGCGGCGAAAUGCGCAGAUAUCAGGAGGAACACCGGUGGCGAAGGCGGGUCUCUGGGCCGAUACUGACGCUGAGGAGCGAAAGCGUGGGGAGCGAACAGG